GGAACGAACGCUGGCGGCAUGCCUAAUACAUGCAAGUCGAACGAACACUUCGGUGUUAGUGGCGCACGGGUGCGUAACGCGUGGGAAUCUGCCCUUGGGUUCGGAAUAACAGUUGGAAACGACUGCUAAUACCGGAUGAUAUCGAAAGAUCAAAGAUUUAUCGCCCAGGGAUGAGCCCGCGUAGGAUUAGCUAGUUGGUGAGGUAAAGGCUCACCAAGGCGACGAUCCUUAGCUGGUCUGAGAGGAUGAUCAGCCACACUGGGACUGAGACACGGCCCAGACUCCUACGGGAGCAGCAGUAGGGAUAUGGACAAGUGGGCGCAAGCCUGAUCCAGCAAUGCCGCGUGAGUGAUGAAGGCCUAGGGUUGUAAAGUCUUACUUUACCCGAGAUGAUAAUGACAGUA
rnacentral:rRNA from 1 species